GUUAGGAAUAUUGGACAAUGGGCGCAAGCCUGAUCCAGCCAUGCCGCGUGAACGAUGAAGGCCUUCGGGUUGUAAAGUUCUUUAGCCGAUGAUUAUAAUGACUGUAGUCGGAAAAUAAGCCCCGGCUAACUUCGUGCCAGCAGCCGCGGUAAUACGAAGGGGGCGAGCGUUAUUCGGAAUCACUGGGCGUAAAGCGUGCGUAGGCGGUCUCGUAAGUUAGGAGUGAAAGCCCAGGGCUCAACCUUGGAAUUGCUCUUAAAACUGCAAGGCUAGAAUCGCUGAGAGGAUAGCGGAAUUUCCAGUGUAGCAGUGAAAUGCGUAGAUAUUGGAAGGAACACCAGUGGCGUAAGCGGCUAUCUGGACGAGUAUUGACGCUGAGGCACGAAAGCGUGGGGAUCAAACAGGAUUAGAUACCCCAGUAGUCC
rnacentral:rRNA from 1 species